UACGGAGGAUGCAAGCGUUAUCCGGAAUGAUUGGGCGUAAAGCGUCCGCAGGUGGCAAUGUAAGUCUGCUGUCAAAGCGUCUGGCUCAACCAGAUAAAGGCAGUGGAAACUACAUAGCUAGAGUAAGGUAGGGGUAGAGGGAAUUCCUGGUGUAGCGGUGAAAUGCGUAGAGAUCAGGAAGAACACCGGUGGCGAAAGCGCUCUGCUGGGCCUUAACUGACACUGAGGGACGAAAGCUAGGGGAGCGAAUGGG
rnacentral:rRNA from 1 species